rnacentral:sRNA from 1 species
AUCUACCGCUCGUACACUCCGGUUUCUGAGCGCGUCGCUCGCACCCACCUGGCGACUGCUCGCUACGUUUUGUUGGCC